rnacentral:rRNA from 1 species
UACAGAGGUCUCAAGCGUUGUUCGGAUUCAUUGGGCGUAAAGGGUGCGUAGGCGGCGCGGUAAGUCGGGUGUGAAAUCUCGGAGCUUAACUCCGAAACUGCAUUCGAUACUGCCGUGCUUGAGGACUGGAGAGGAGACUGGAAUUUACGGUGUAGCGGUGAAAUGCGUAGAUAUCGUAAGGAAGACCAGUGGCGAAGGCGGGGUCUCUGGACAGUUCCUGACGCUGAGGCACGAAAGCCAGGGGGAGCGAACGGG